GCCCCGGAUCCCAUGGCGCCCGCCGGAGGACCAACUCCAAACUCUUUUUUUCUCUCCGUCGCGGCUCCCGUCGCGGCUCUGUUUUAUUUUUGCUCUGAGCCUUUCUCGGCGACCCUAGCGGGCGUCUCGAAAAUGAAUCAAAACUUUCAACAACGGAUCUCUUGGUUCUGGCAUCGAUGAAGAACGCAGCGAAAUGCGAUAAGUAAUGUGAAUUGCAGAAUUCAGUGAAUCAUCGAAUCUUUGAACGCACAUUGCGCCCGCCAGUAUUCUGGCGGGCAUGCCUGUCCGAGCGUCAUUUCAACCCUCGAACCCCUCCGGGGGGUCGGCGUUGGGGAUCGGCCCCUCACCGGGCCGCCCCCGAAAUACAGUGGCGGUCUCGCCGCAGCCUCUCCUGCGCAGUAGUUUGCACACUCGCACCGGGAGCGCGGCGCGGCCACAGCCGUAAAACACCCCAAACUUCUGAAAUGUUGACCUCGGAUCAGGUAGGAAUACCCGCUGAACUUAAGCAUAUCAAUAAGCGGAGGA
rnacentral:rRNA from 1 species